AGUGAACGCUGGCGGUAGGCCUAACACAUGCCAGUAGAACGGCAGCACAGUAAGAGCUUGCUCUUACGGGUGGCGAGUGGCGGACGUGUGAGGAAUACAUCGGAAUCUACUUUUUCGUGGGGGAUCACGUAGGUAAACUUACGCUAAUACCGCAUACGACCUACGGUUGAAAGCAGUGGAUCUUCUGACCUUGCGCGAUUGAAUGAGCCGAUGUCGGAUUAGAUAGUUGGCGGGGUAAAGGCCCACCAAGGCGACGAUCCGUAGCUGGUCUGAGAGGAUGAUCAGCCACACUGGAAGUGAGACAGGGUCCAGACUCCUACGGGAGGCAGCAGUGGGGAAUAUUGGGCAAUGGGCGCAAGCAUGAUCCAGCCAUACCGCGUGGGUGAAGAAGGCGUUCGGGUUGUAAAGCCCUUUUGUUGGGAAAGAAAAGCAGCAGGUUAAUACGCCGCUGUUCUGACGGUACCCAAAGAAUAAGCACCGGCUAACUUCGUG
rnacentral:rRNA from 1 species